UACGUAGGGUGCAAGCGUUGUCCGGAAUUAUUGGGCGUAAAGAGCUCGUAGGCGGUCUGUCACGUCGGCUGUGAAAACCUGGGGCUCAACUCCGGGCCUGCAGCCGAUACGGGCAGACUAGAGUUCGGCAGGGGAAACUGGAAUUCCUGGUGUAGCGGUGAAAUGCGCAGAUAUCAGGAGGAACACCGGUGGCGAAGGCGGGUCUCUGGGCCGAUACUGACACUGAGGAGCGAAAGCGUGGGGAGCGAACAGG
rnacentral:rRNA from 1 species